rnacentral:rRNA from 1 species
CCUACGGGGGGCAGCAGUGGGGAAUAUUGGACAAUGGGCGAAAGCCUGAUCCAGCCAUGCCGCGUGUGUGAAGAAGGCCUUCGGGUUGUAAAGCACUUUCAGUGGGGAAGAAAGCCUUGGGGCUAAUACCCUCGAGGAAGGACAUCACCCACAGAAGAAGCACCGGCUAACUCCGUGCCAGCAGCCGCGGUAAUACGGAGGGUGCGAGCGUUAAUCGGAAUUACUGGGCGUAAAGCGCGCGUAGGCGGUCUGAUAAGCCGGUUGUGAAAGCCCCGGGCUCAACCUGGGAACGGCAUCCGGAACUGUCAGGCUAGAGUGUAGGAGAGGAAGGUAGAAUUCCCGGUGUAGCGGUGAAAUGCGUAGAGAUCGGGAGGAACACCAGUGGCGAAGGCGGCCUUCUGGACUGACACUGACGCUGAGGUGCGAAAGCGUGGGUAGCAAACAGGAUUAGAUACCCUUGUAGUC